CUUGAUAUGCAUUUGUUAACGCUACUUCUAAUAUGUGUGGUAAUAAUCAAAUCUCUAGUCAAAUUUUGAUCCAAACACACAGCUUAAGCAAAUCCAUAACACAACUUAACCAAAUCCCUAAUCAUAUCCAUGGACUUCACAAAAUUCCUAAGGUGAUAUUACAUGUUGAUAAUGACGUGUUAUCAUCUUAUUACGCUUAAUUUGUAUUUUUGUUAGCUGUGAGGAAUAUCAUUAUUAAAUCAUCAAUGCAUUGUGCACAUCAACAUCAUAUUCACCACUCUGUAUCUUGAGUAAGGGGUAGACUACUGUAAUAUAACCGUCACAUAAAAUGCCAUCUCUAUUCAUUUCAAGCCACUCAUUUUGAUAGAAUUUCCACAAAAUUUCCAAAAGUCAUUUUCUUUACUACUAACCAAUUAAACACAUUUAAAAGUAAGAUUUGGACUGAAUGUGAUUGAUGAUGACACAAUGUUGCGUUAGAGCCAAGUUAUGACCUUGACCUGCAUUAUAGUCAUAGAUGCCCUCUUAUAUAUCGUUGUCAUUUCAUUAAGACUGUAGAAUUUUCCAACAGAUCAGUUGGGCUUGGUGCAAGUUAGGGCCAUAUUAGCAUAUAGUUGCAUAGGCAAUUGGCAUGGGUUUUGAGAAUUUUCAUCCUUUAGUUUUAUUUAUUUAAUUUAAUUUUUUUGGAAAAGUAACAUUACAAUAACUAUCUAUUUCUACGUGUUAUUGUACCACCUAAUAUGUUAGUCUAGUUGUUAGUAAUACAUUGGAGAUAUACAUGAGUGGUGGAUCCAGUACACCAAUAUUAUAUUAACAAAUAAGAUGAUAAGCAUAUAAUAUAGUUUAAAAAUAUGAUUAGUGUAGCAUUAUUGUAUUGUUAGUGAAGAAUCUGUGGACCUACCUUCAGUGAGACCGGGGUAAAUCCCAGAUAUGUACAAUCACCCGCUAGCUUUGUAUAUCAAGCCAAAAAGACUCAAAUUUAAGACCUCCUGAUUGUUUACAUGGGAUCUUAUCAUUCAAGCUAACUUUCACAAGUUUGAGAAUUUUUAAUUUUAAAAUUUACAACGAAACAGAACCAAGAAUUUUUUUUUUUUUUUUGCGUGACCCUAAGUGUUAUUUACCAAGAAUAGAGAAUAAUUUUACAAAGGAAUUGAGGGAAAUCCAACAUAAAUUUGACUGGAAGUAUCAUCCAAGAAGUUGGUUAGAUGAAAUUGUCGGAAUCUCUUGACUUGUCUACAAAUGAGCUUUCUGGCUCGAUUCCUACCAGCCUCACUAAUCUAAACUUUCUCAGUGUGUUGAAUUUGUCAAUAACAGGUUGUCAAGAAAAAUCCCAAUAAGCACUCAAUUGGAAAGCUUUGAUCCUUUUGUGUACUUGGGAAACCCUGAACUUUGUGGGCUUCCACUUCCAAAUAAGUGUCCGGGAGAAGAAAUAACUGUGGAACAUCCAAUUCUUGUUCGUGGAAAAGACAAAAGGAUUCAAGAAUACGAUGGCAAGAUUAUUACCACUGGAUUUUAUGUUAGUUUGGGGCUGGGUUUCAUCCUUGGAUUUUGGACAACUUUUGGCGCUAUGAUUUUUAACAAACCAUCUAGACAUGCUUAUUUUGAGUUUUUGAACCGCAUAAAGAAUUGGUUUUAUGUAACCACUGCACUGAGUAUGGCUAGAUUGCAAAGGAGGCUUUAAAGGUAAAUGGUCUAUGUUGCAAGCAAUCUUCAGCUCAUUGGUCUCAAUAUCUAUCUAUUUGGUCAUGUUGUGGAGCUGGCUUUGGCUUGUUGGUCUGAAGAUCAUCUGUAUAGUAACUUCUAUUGUCCCCAUUCAUGCGUAUUCAAUGUCUGGUUUUGUGAUCAAUUUUUGUGGUUGAACAAAACAAUUGCUGAAAGUGAUCAUCAACCUUGUUUAGUCUUGUUUUUCUUUUUUGGUCUUUAUUUUUUUAUUGGGUUAUAGUAAGGAAGUUGAUUCAACAGAGGUGCAAGCUGUGAGUUAACAAACAAAAGAUCUAAGUCGAGCUUUUGGCACUUCUUGUUCCUCGGGCAAUCUAUGUAUUUUUGAAGGAUUAUAAUAUCAACUUGAUAAAUAUUUGAUGUGGAA